AUCUGCGUUCAUAGCUGGUGGACCACAGGGUAUCCCGUCCGCUCUGCCUUACUCAAGCCCCCAAGCGGGCGCUCAGUAGUAUAGUGGGUGACCAUAUGCGAAUCGCGUCUAACGCAGGUU
rfam:Arthrobotrys oligospora ATCC 24927 unplaced genomic scaffold scaffold00176, whole genome shotgun sequence.